UUAAAUUUAAUAAUUUUGUAACGAAGGACGCAGCGAAGGAACGCCGCUGCAGAUGCCCUUAUAUAUAGUUUCUGCGUACAUAAAUUAGAAACUCCAUUUCAACGCCACUAAUUGUUUGUUUUUUUUGUAUAUAUCAUGUAGACGAUUGCUGGGUGAUAUGUCUUUCCAGACCCGGCUUAAAGCUACGGCGAGAGGGGCGGUUGCCAUGGGACACAAACAAUUUUCCCAGAAAAGCUUAACCAUUUGGGGUCAAAAAAAAAAAAAAAAUUUUCUAUGCUGGAAAAGGUCCAAAAAAACCUAUAUGCCUAGGGACAAAAAUUUUUUUGAGACGGGACUGUGUCUUUCAGAUAUUUUACUGUUUAGCCUCAACAAAGGUCGUCCUUUCAAUCAACACCGUAAGUUGGACACCGAGAAGUUCAUCAGAGAUGUAAAAUUUUUGCCAGAGGAAAUCAAAGCUAGAAAGAAGUUAAACCCCCAUGGAAUUUGCUGUUGGCUCUUUGAAGAAGGCCAUGGAUGUCAUGUUUUACCCAGGAAUUGAAAAGAAAAAUGGGAGAAAGAGACCUAAUGCUAAAGUUUCGACUUUUAAAAGUGAUUUCAUAGUAUUGAUGAUGCCUCCCCUCACGUAAUCGCUCAACUACUGCAAACAAAGGUAUUGAGUUUCAUAGGGUUAUGUUGGCAUCAUUCUUACCUGUACUCCUACCUUUGUUAACUACCAGGGGGAAUUUUAAGGCUAAGCAUGUCAACAAGAAAAGACUGCAAACUUCGUAGGCACACUGUUCUCAUCGUCGCUUACGGGAUUACUGCAGACGGCACUCUUUUCUUUCUUCUGCGAAACAGUUGGGGAUCUACAUGGGGGGAAAGAGGGUAUGCGAGAGUUAUCUACGAAGGGGGAUCGAAUGUCUUCUACCUAAACAAGUUUGUGUAAAACAAUGAUAUUAUGAGGGUAUUACCUACGGUCCUACACUGUUUCUGUCUCUGUUUUUUGAUAACGCCAAGAACUAAAUAUCAUAUGUCAUCUAGUACUACAUACACUAUCAUUUGGUGAUAAAUUUCAUUUUGUUUUGUUCCAUUGUGUUUUUUUUUGUACCUUUAGUGUCUGGCUUUUGUGAUUCUUCUUGGUUUUCCCGAAUCAAAUUCAAACUCAAUUCAAAAUU